AUCGUUGACAAAAUUUCGAUUCGCCAAAAUUGCAGGCCAAUGCUGUCGACCCACGAAUUCAACUUUUUUUUUUUUCGAUAUUCUUGAAAUUUAUCUUUUUGUGGAAAAUAAUAACUUUGAUGCAAUAAAUUUAAUUAUGAUUUUUGUUUUAUUUUAAUGAUUAAUCGAUAAUUAAUGAUUUCGAACAUUCUUUUUCCAAACCUGGAUGAUGGGUGUGCCUUAAACCCACCCUGCUUGUUCGAAGUUGGCUGGGAGAAAAGUCGAUACGUGAGUCACAGACGUACACACCCAAAUAUUGCGGAUCUAAUAAAAAAAAUACCUUCGAGACCACAAUUGCCAAUAUUUCAAAUUUUAUUUGGCAUGCAAAUUUUUUUGAAUGUAAUAUUAAUAAAACAAAAUUAUUUUCAUUUUUCAACCUUUUUUUCAAAUAAUACUCAUUAUUGCUUGUUUAAUUACAGGUAUUAAUUGUCGAUUUUUUUUUUUUUUUUUGAUCAUCAAUAAUAUUGUGCAUGCAAAAGUUUAUGGCAAGUUAAUUCGACAUGGGCAAUAAUAAUGCACGUUUGUGUGCAUAGCUGUGUGUAAAAGCAGCUUACAAGCAGGAGAAAAGAACGGAAGGCGAACGAGUGGCGACAGGAGAGCAGGUAGGGUGGGUUACGCGUUGCAACGCGUAAGCCAGUCUUCUCACCGUUACCAUGUAUGGAUCACUCGCUCUUCGUUUCGAAGGAAAAAAAUCAGCCAUGAUAGUGUACACGCCCGCGCAUCUCAGUGUGUGUAUAUUCUUCUGCAUGUACUUGGUUAAGCGUGCAAACACUGUUUCGCAUUGAUAGACACGAGUCGCAGUAUGCAAACAUAACGGACCUACCAAUAACGGGGGAUCAUAUUUAUUAUCAAGACAGAUUAAAAAAGAACAAAUACAUAUAGUAUAUGUAUACCUGAUUAUUAAUCAAAUCUCUAUCCUACGUAACAUGCAUAGUAAUGUACAUUAUAAAUAUGCUUGAUACGCUUCAACGUGAAAAUGAAAUGAGAGGAAAUAAGACGAAGAUAAAAAACUUUCUUUGCAAAAAGGAGUUGUGUAUCAAUUGCGUGAAUAAAAACUGAUUACGUGUCACGAGGUCGAUUCGAAAGAAUAAGACCGAUCCGACGAUGCUCCACUCUGAUUGUCCUUCGUUAGUCGUACAAUUACGAGUAGAAACGCUCGCUGACAUCACGUCCAAUUUAGACGAACCAAGAACGAGAAGUUCACGUACCAGUGUCGGCGAAAAAGAGACUUCCGCAUCGUUCCUAUCUAUCGUGAUCAAAAAUAAUAGAAUAAUUAAUGUACAAUUUGAACGAUUACUUAAUCAUGGUUUACUAUUAUAAGCUUAUUAUAAGCCGGUGCUUUUGAUUUCAGACAUCCGUUGGAAAAUUUACGAUCAAUUCGUCUCGUUUUUCUGAUAUAAUUAUUAAAAAAAAAAAAUAAUAAUUAUUUAAAAAUUGGAAAUUAAAUUGAACAAAGUAUUUAAAGAUAUUUGAUAUCGAAAUGACGCACACGAUAAAAUUGAGUCACGAAUAUUGAUUGAAUUUCAUUUGAAGUUCGUUAUCGAAUGUACCACUGUAAAUUAGUAAAAAAAAAUGUGCUAAAAAAAUCAUUAACUCUACGACAAUUAUCUUUCAUCAAAAGUAAUAUCGUGCGAUCGAACAAUAAUUGAUAAUUUUUUGUUGAUAAUGAUAGAUACGAUAUUUUAUAUAUACAUGCGAAAAGGGAUGAUCAUGAGUCACGAAAUUAUUGAGCUUCCCGAACAUCCUUUCCUUUUUUCUAUAAAAUUUUUGUAUAUAUUUCGUAUAAUUUUCAUUAUUCAUACUUUCUUAUAAUCUUAGAAAUUCCGAAGAAGAAGAUUAUGCUUUCUCUCGUAAUAA